rnacentral:lncRNA from 1 species
UUCGAUAUCAAUUUUUGUUUCAAAAAAGAUUUUGUUAAUUAUGAUGUGAUGAUGUUACGAACGGACACGUCACUUCUUUCCCUUCGAAUAUAUCGUUUCUCUUUUUAGCUCUUGUUAUAUGUCUGUUUUUCAUUCGUAUCUUUUAUACUCUCACUCGUCUUUAACCACGUUUUUGUAACGCGCUAUCUCACGCGCAACGCAUGACCGGUUCGAAGCUUGACCAGAGCACAUUUAGAGAGAGAUUUAUCAAAACGCUAUCAGACAGAACAACUGUGUAAACAUUUUUAUAAACAAUCAAUUGUAUGGAUUUACAACGGAAUAAACAAGAUGAAAUUGAUCAAAGACAAGACACAUCUUCC